rnacentral:rRNA from 2 species
CCAAGACGAUGACGCAUAACUGGUUUGAGAGGAUGAUCAGUCACACUGGAACUGAGACACGGUCCAGACUCCUACGGGAGGCAGCAGUGGGGAAUAUUGCACAAUGGACGAAAGUCUGAUGCAGCAACGCCGCGUGGAGGAUGACACAUUUCGGUGCGUAAACUCCUUUUAUAUAAGAAGAUAAUGACGGUAUUAUAUGAAUAAGCACCGGCUAACUCCGUGCCAGCAGCCGCGGUAAUACGGAGGGUGCAAGCGUUACUCGGAAUCACUGGGCGUAAAGAGCGUGUAGGCGGAUUGAUAAGUUUGAAGUGAAAUCCUAUAGCUUAACUAUAGAACUGCUUUGAAAACUGUUAAUCUAGAAUGUGGGAGAGGUAGAUGGAAUUUCUGGUGUAGGGGUAAAAUCCGUAGAGAUCAGAAGGAAUACCGAUUGCGAAGGCGAUCUACUGGAACAAUAUUGACGCUGAGACGCGAAAGCGUGGGGAGCAAACAGGAUUAGAUACCCUGGUAGUCCACGCCCUAAACGAUGUACACUAGUUGUUGUGAGGCUCGACCUUGCAGUAAUGCAGUUAACACAUUAAGUGUACCGCCUGGGGAGUACGGUCGCAAGAUUAAAACUCAAAGGAAUAGACGGGGACCCGCACAAGCGGUGGAGCAUGUGGUUUAAUUCGACGAUACACGAAGAACCUUACCUGGACUUGACAUAGUAAGAAUGAUUUAGAGAUAGAUUAGUGUCUGCUUGCAGAAACUUGCAUACAGGUGCUGCACGGCUGUCGUCAGCUCGUGUCGUGAGAUGUUGGGUUAAGUCCCGCAACGAGCGCAACCCUCGUCCUUAGUUGCUAACAGUUCGGCUGAGAACUCUAAGGAGACUGCCUACGCAAGUAGGAGGAAGGUGAGGAUGACGUCAAGUCAUCAUGGCCCUUACGUCCAGGGCUACACACGUGCUACAAUGGGGUAUACAAAGAGCAGCAAUACGGUGACGUGGAGCAAAUCUCAAAAAUGCCUCCCAGUUCGGAUUGUAGUCUGCAACUCGACUACAUGAAGUUGGAAUCGCUAGUAAUCGUAGAUCAGCUAUGCUACGGUGAAUACGUUCCCGGGUCUUGUA